UUCAACGUGAGAGUUUGAUCCUGGCUCAGAGCGAACGCUGGCGGCAGGCUUAACACAUGCAAGUCGAGCGGGCCCUUCGGGGUCAGCGGCGGACGGGUGAGUAACGCGUGGGAACGUGCCUUCUGGUUCG
rnacentral:rRNA from 1 species